rnacentral:rRNA from 1 species
CCUACGGGAGGCAGCAGUGGGGAAUAUUGCACAAUGGGGGAAACCCUGAUGCAGCAACGCCGCGUGAGUGAGGAAGUAUUUCGGUAUGUAAAGCCCUAUCAGCAGGGAAUAGAAAAGAAGGUACCUGAAAAAGAAGCCCCGGCUAACUCCGUGCCAGCAGCCGCGGUAAUACGGAGGGUGCGAGCUUUAAUCGGAAUUACUGGGCGUAAAGGGCUUGUAGGCGGUAUGUCAAGUCAAGGGUGAAAUCCCCGCGCUCAACGUGGGAACUGCCUUUGAAACUGGCAAACUGGAGUGUGUGAGAGGAUAGUGGAAUUCCAGGUGUAGGGGUGAAAUCCGUAGAUAUCGGGAGGAACAUCAGUGGCGAAGGCGACUAUCUGGCACAUAACUGACGCUGAGGAACGAAAGCGUGGGUAGCGAACAGGAUUAGAUACCCCUGUAGUC